GCCGGGAUAGCUCAGUUGGUAGAGCAGGGGAUUGAAAAU
rnacentral:tRNA from 2 species